GACUCACGCCAGCUGAGCGAUGGCUCUGUCCAGAUGUCGUCUCAUCCUUUCCUGACAUGACUUGAUGACUUCCACUUCCUUGUUGCAAUGCAGUGACCCUGACCUGCACCUUUUGCUGCUGACACUGACUCCCAUUCAUCAAUGCUGAGUUGCACCACGAAGAGCGUCGGCAGUUAACACCCACGAUGAAAGACCAGAAGGCCAUGCAGUUGCAACAAAAUCCAGAAGACCAAAUGUCAGGACAGUCUCCAGUCAUCCCCUGCCGGCCUCCUAUACAGCAUGGGAUAAAGUCCUCACCAGGCUGAUGAAGGACACAGAGGACGCCAGAGGGCUCAUUGUUGUCCCUCCAUAUGGGACAGCCUGGAGCUGAUUGACUAAAGGCAGGUUUGACAUUCAAAUGAGAUGCAGAUUUCACACCGUUUGCUUUACUUCAGCCUACAUCUGUUCUCUGAGCCCACACAGUACUCUAUAAACUAUACAAGACACAUUAACUACAGCUGAGUCAUUACUUAAAGUCGUCACUGGCAGAACUACCUUAAAUAAGUAUAAUACAACAGGACAUUAUGACUCAGCCAACUCUAAAACAAUAAUUACAAG